rnacentral:tRNA from 1 species
GCGGACGUGGUGGAAUCGGUAGACACAAGGGACUUAAAACAAAAUUGAGUGCACUGGCGGAAACGCCUGAUGUAGAACUGCUCAAAGUCGGGGAAACCUGUCAGAUGGCAAUCCCGAGCCAAGCCCUGCAAGGGGAAGGUGUAGAGACUAGACGGGCAGCACCUAAGGCAGACGCUAGGGUGAAGGUAUAGUCCAGACCACAAACGCCGGAAGGCGGCGGCGAAAGCCGUAGCGGUAAGAAAAUCCCUCGGCCUAGGCUAUGCGGGUUCGACCCCCGCCGUCCGCACCA